rnacentral:lncRNA from 1 species
GUUAUGUGUCACACAGGUCAGCUGACUGGCUCACUCACAACCAGGAAGUUGAAAUUUUCCUAAGUGUCACAUUCUCCCUCAUGUCAUCCUUACCAUGAUGGGUAAGGAUGGAAAAGAGAGAUAGUGGGGGGGGGUACCAUGCUUCUUGAAGUCCAGGUUCAGAACUGACAUUCUGACCUUUGCUUACAUUCCUCCAAUUGGUGAAAGCCACAAGGCUGGAUGGAGAACUUGGAGAUCCACAUUGUUGAAGACUUGGAUCGAGAAGAGUCAAAGAAUGUGGACAUUUGUUUUUCUAUUUGGCUUUGGUAGAAGAAAAUGAAGGUUUGGCACAUGUACAACCGGUUCCCUACGAAGAAGACAGCCUCACUACUUCUAUACACAGGCAACGUUCUACACAGUUGUGGUUUUCUUUCUAGUGGUUCCUCGUCAAUUAAUCCAUUCUUGAUUAAUUGAAGUCAUUAGUGAUCAAUACAAAUUCACGCUUAUUAAGUGCUCAAUUGUGUGAAAAAAACUCACAAAGCCAUGCUCCUCCAUAUAUUUUCUUGGAGCAUUCAUUUUAGAGGAUGGUAAUGAACGUUUAUCAGAUAUUAAAGGGCUCCUAGUCAAAUAUGCUUGGAGGUACUCAGGUGUCCCAGCAGAAUGAUCUGGCAGAAUAACCAGGCUCUCAAUUACCAGACAAAAUAGG